UACGGAGGGUGCAAGCGUUGUCCGGAUUCAUUGGGUUUAAAGGGUGCGCAGGCGGGACAUUAAGUCAGGGGGGAAAGACGGUUGCUCAACAAUCGCAGUGCCCUUGAUACUGGUGUUCUUGGGUGACCUUGAGGUAGGCGGAAUGGGUGGUGUAGCGGUGAAAUGCGUAGAUAUCGGGAGGAACACCUGUGGCGAAAGCGGCUCACUGGACCACAACUGACGCUGAUGCGCGAAAGCUAGGGGAGCAAACAGG
rnacentral:rRNA from 1 species